rnacentral:rRNA from 1 species
GACGAACGCUGGCGGCGUGCUUAACACAUGCAAGUCGAACGGAAAGGCCCUGCUUUUGUGGGGUGCUCGAGUGGCAGACGGGUAAGUGACACGUGCGUAACCUGCCCUUUACUUUGGUAUAACUUCAGGAAACUGGGGCUAAUACCGGAUAGGAGCUGCUGCUGCAUGGUGGGGGUUGGACAGUUUCGGCGGUUGGGGAUGGACUCGCGGCUUAUCAGCUUGUUGGUGGGGUAGUGGCUUACCAAGGCUUUGACGGGUAGCCCGCCUGAGAGGGUGACCGGCCACAUUGCGACUGAGAUACGGCCCAGACUCCUACGGGAGGCAGCAGUCGGGAAUAUUGCACAAUGGGCGGAAGCCUGAUGCAGCAACGCUGCGUGCGGGAUGACGGCUUUCGGGUUGUAAACCGCUUCCGCCUGUGACGAAGCGUGAGUGACGGUAAUGGGUAAAGAAGCACCGGCUAACUACGUG